CUCAUGGAGAGUUAGAUCCUGGCGCAGGAUGAACGCUGGCGGCAUGCUUAACACAUGCAAGUGGGAUGGGAAACACGGGAGAUGGUGUUUUCAGUGGCGGACGGGUGAGUAACGCAUGAGAACCUGCCCUUGGGCGGGCAACAACAGCUGGAAACGGCUGCUAAUACCCAUUAGGCUGAGGAGCAAAAGGAGAAAUCCGCCUGAGGAGGGGCUCGUAUGUUAUUGGCUAGUUGGUGAUGCAAUAGCUUACCAAUGCGAUCAUCAGUAACUAGUCCAAGAGGAUGACCAGCCACACUAGGACUGAGACACGGCCAAGACUCCUACCGGAGGCAGCAGAGGAGAAUUUUUUCGCAAUGAGCUAAAUCCUGAUGGAGCAAUGACGCAUGGAGGUAAAAGGCCCACGGGCUGUGAACUUCUUUUCCCGGAGAAGAAGCAAUGACGGUAUCUGGGGAAUAACUAUCGACUAACUCUGUGCCAGCAACCGCAGCAAUACAGAUGAUGCAAGCGUUAUCCGGAAUAAUUGGGCGUAAAGCGUCUGUAGGUGGCUUUUUAAGUCCGCCGUCAAAUCCCAGGGCUCAACCCUACAUAGGCGGUUGAAACUACCAUGCUGGAGUACGGUAGGGGCAGAGGGAAUUUCCAGUGGAGCGAUGAAAUGUGUAGAGAUCGGAAAGAACACCAACGGCGAAAGCACUCUGAUGGGCCGACACUGACACUGAGAGAUGAAAGAUAGGGGAGCGAAUGGUAUUAGACACCCCAGUUGUCCUAGCCGUAAAUAAUGGAUAAUAGGCGCUUAGCGUAUUGACCCGUGCAGUGCUGUAGUUAACAUGUUAUGUAUCCGCCUGGGGAGUACGUUCGCAUGAAUGUAACUCAAAGGAAUUGAUGGGGGCCCGCACAAGCGGUGGAGCAUGUGGUUUAAUUCGAUGCAAAGCGAAGAACCUUACAAGGGCUUGACAUACCGCGAAUCCUCUUGAAAGAGAGGGGUGCCUUCGGGAACGCGGAGACAGGUUGUGCAUGGCUGUCGUCAGCUUGUGCCAUAAGGUGUUAGGUUAAGUCCCGUAAUGAGCGCAACCAUUGUUUUUAGUUGCCAUCCUUGAGUUUAGAACCCUUAACAGACUGCCGGAGGAAGGUGAGGAUGACGGCAAGUCAUCAUGUCUCUUAUGCCCUGGGCGACACACGUGCUACAAUUGCCAGGACAAAGGAUGGUGAUCCCGCGAUGGUGAGCUAACCCCAAAAACCCGUCCUUAGUUUUGAUUGCAGGCUGCAACUCGCGUGCAUGAAGCCGGAAUGACUAGUAAUCGCCGGUCAGAAAUAUGGAGGUGAAUUCAUCCCCGGGCCUUGUACACGCCGUCCGUCACACUAUGGGGGCUGGCCAUUCACGAAGUCGUUACCUUAACUGGAAGAAGGGGGAUGCCAAAGGCAGGGCUAGUGACUGGAUUGAAGUCGUAUCAAGGUAGCCAUACUGGAAGGUGCGGCUCGAUCACCUCCUGU
rfam:Solanum lycopersicum cultivar Heinz 1706 chromosome 1, whole genome shotgun sequence.